ACACUGUUAAAAUUUAUAGGAAAG
rnacentral:piRNA from 1 species